rnacentral:lncRNA from 1 species
UUUUUCAAAAAGGUCGGUGCAGCUUAUCAUGAUGUGUAUUGACUUAGUCACAUAUUAUGUUGCUUUUAAUGGGUCUUCUAUAGGGCCUACAAUUCUGCAUCGUCGUCUUCGGCAGGGGUGUCGACUCUCUCCUUACCUGUUCAUUCUAUGUGCUGAGGGUUUGUCAGUUCUGUUUAGUCAUGCGAUGGGUAGUGGUCACAUCCUUGGGUGUACGGUGGCUCGAGGUGCUCCCACUAUUACUCAUUUAUUAUUUGCUGAUGACAACUUUUUCUUUUUUUUCAGGCUACUGAACAGGAAGUUAUGGUUAUCAAGAGGAUCUUAUAGUGUUAUGAAGCGGCUUCGGGACAACCUGCAAAUUUGCAAAAAAUCUAGGAUAUUCUUCAGUCGAAAUGUUAGUGCGGAUAAAUAUGUUGGUAGUUUAAAUUAGUCUGGUAGUUUUGAAUUAGUCAACAAGUGUCCAAUUCUACAGGAGUUAUUUGCUGCUAUUUAGAAUAUUUUCGCUACUGCUAUAUUUAGAUUAUUUUGCAGAUCUUUAGUUGUUUUUUGUUUUGAAAUAAUGGCUAUAUAAAGCCCAGCAGUUGCUCAAAUAAAAUAUCACUUUUAAAUCCAAUUGUUCUGGUUGGCGACCUGUUUCUUGAUCUAACAAUUGGUAUCAGAGCCCCACUGGCCCUGAGAAAUAGAAAAUAAACUGUUGAGUGAUCAAACACUGCAAGGAUGAGUGAUGAUAAAACCCUGACCAAGAUUCCUCACUUUGAUGGUCACUAUGAUCACUGGAGUGAGUUGAUGGAGAAUCUCCUUAGAGCCAAAGGACUUUGGAACUUGGUAGAGAAUGGUUUUGAAGAACCACAGAUGGAAACAAAAUUGACAGAUGCCCAGCAAGCUCAGCUUGAUGAUGCGAGAACCAAGGAUCAUCAAGUGAAACAUUAUCUGUUUCAAGCAAUCGACAGAAUAGUCUUCGAACAAAUUCUGGACCGUCGCACAGCAAAAAUAGUCUGGGACUCCAUGAAGAAGAAGUUUGGUGGAAAUAUGAAGGUAAAGAAAUCUCUUCUUAACGCAUUAAGAAGGGAUUCUAAAAUUCUUGAAAUGAAAAGAGAUGAAACUGUCAAUGAAUAUUUCACAAGAGUGAUGGUGGUAGCAAACAAAAUGAGGAGUAAUAGAGAAGAGAUGACGAAUACCAAAAUUGUUGAGAAAACUUUGCGUACCCUCACAGAGAAGUUCACAUAUUUCUGUGUAUCCAUUGAAGAGUCUAAAGACAUUGAAACCAUGUCUGUUACUACAGAGUACCUUGGUGGUUCAUGAACAAAAGUUUCGUCGAGUGCACAAAGAAGACGACGCCCAGGUGCUGAAAAUUGAAGGACGAUCAAACUCGACCAGUAGAGGAAGAGGCUCUUGUAGAGGAAGGGGACGAGGUGGAGGAAGAGCUGUAUUCAACAAUGCUACCAUUGAAUGUUACAAGUGCCAUGAUUUAGGGCAUUUUCAAUAUGAAUGCCCAAAAUCAAACAAGGAAGCUAAUUAUGCCGAAUUGGAGGAAGAAGAUGAGCUACUACUGAUGGCAUAUGUCGAACUUCAUGAGACAAAUAGAAGAGAUGCUUGGUUCGUAGACUCGGGUUGUUCGAAUGAUAUGUGCGGUAACCAAGAGAUGUUUACAAGCUUAGACACUAAUUUCACCCAUUCAGUCAAGCUUGGAAACAACACAAGGAUGAAGGUUACUGGAAAAGGAGUGAUAAAACUGUUUCUACAAGGAGUGUGUUAUACUAUAAGUGAUGUGUACUGCGUACCGGAACUGAGAAAUAAUUUGCUAAGUGUUGGACAGCUUCAAGAAAAAGGGGUAGCAAUUUUGUUUAAAGAUGGAGUGUGCAGCCUCUACCAUCCACUAAAAGGAAAGAUGGCAGAAUCAGUGAUGAGUGCAAAUCGCAUGUUUAUUCUGCUUGGAGAAUCACCUACUACUGUGGUUAAUGAAGAAUGUUUUCAAGUGGGCAGUACAGAUGAAUCAAUUUUGUGGCACCACCGAUAUGGGCACCUCAGCUACAAGGGCUUACACACAUUGAAUGACAAGAAUAUGGUGAUCGGCUUACCUCAAAUCUUAACACCAAAGUCCACUUGUGAGGCAUGUGUGAAGGGUAAACAGCACCGAAAUCCAAUUCCAAAAAAAGGCAAAUGGAGAGCAACUGAGCAGCUGGGUCUUGUUCAUGCUGAUAUAUGCGGACCGAUCACUCCAGCUUCAAACAGUCAUAAGAGGUACUUGUUAUGUUUUAUUGAUGAUUUCUCAAGAAAAGCCUGGUGUUAUUUCCUUGUUGAAAAAUCAGAAGCAUUUUACCACUUUAAAUGUUUUAAAGUGCUGGUGGAAAAAGAAAUUGGGUUGCCAAUUAAAUGUUUGAGAACAUACAGAGGUGGAGAGUUCAAUUCAUCAAAGUUCAAUAAUUUCUGCAAGCAGCAAGGAGUAAAACGGCAACUAACCAUGGCCUAUACUCCUCAACAAAACGAAGUAGCUGAACGCAAAAAUCAAACCGUGAUGAAUCUAGUAAGAGCAACGCUGAUUGAAAAGAAUAUACCUAAAGUUUUUUGGCCAGAGGCGGUACAAUGGACGUUUCAUAUUUUGAAUAGAUCACCCACACUUGCUGUAAAAGACAAAACGCCCGAGGAAGCCUGGAGUGGAGAAAAACCUACAGUGGAAUAUUUCAAGGUUUUCGGCUGUAUUGGUCAUGUACACAUACCAGACGCAAAAAGAACAAAGCUAGAAGUGAAGAGUGUGAGCUGCGUAUUUUUUGGGUUUAGCCAAGAAUCCAAAGGAUACAGGAUGUUUGAUCCAAUUGCCAAAAAAAUAAUUCAUAGCCGUGAUGUGGUGUUUGAAGAAGAUCGAGCUUGGCAUUGGAAUUCAGAUUAUCAAGAGAAACAAAUACUUGAAUUAGAGUGGGGGCGACAUUAGUACUGAAAGUGAAAAAGAACACACAGCCGGGCAAAGCGAGGCUGGAAACGAUACUGAUGUUGUCUCACCAGCUGAAACAUCUGGCAGUCCUACACCAACAGAGCGAACUUCUGAUCUCGGAAGAAAUUUGGUACCAAGGGAGGGUAGAACUCGACGUCCCCCACUACAUCUAACAGAUUUUGUUUCAGGUGAAGGCCUGCCCGAUGAAGAUGAAACAAAUAUGAUGGCCUAUCUUGUAAUCUCUAAUCCCACUGAUUAUGAGGAAGCAGUAAAGAGUGAAAAAUGGAGGAUGGCUUUGGAUGAAGAAAUAAAAUACAUUGAGAAGAAUCACACCUGGUACUUGAUAGACCUACCAACUGGAGCAACAAAGGUUGGCAUAAAGUGGAUUUAUAAAACAAAACUGAAUGAGCAUGGAGAGGUUGACAAAUACGAAGCGAGGCUAGUCGUAAAAGGGUACACCCAGCAGUAUGGAAUAGAUUAAACAGGUUUUCGCACCCGUGGCUCGAAUGGAUACUGUUCGUAUGAUCAUUGCCUUUGCUGCUCAAAGAGGCUGGAAAUUAUAUCAAUUGGAUGUCAAGUCAGCCUUCUUGCAUGGAGAACUGGAGGAAGAUGUGUAUGUGGAGCAACCGAAAGAUUAUAAAAAGGCAGGAAGUGAACAAAUGGUGUACAAGUUGCCAAAAGCCCUCUGCGGAUUAAAACAGGCACCCAGGGCCUGGUUCAGUCGGAUUGAGUCUUAUUUUAUCAAAGAAGGUUUCACAAGUUGCUCCAAUGAAUAAACCUUGUUUGUCAAAAAGAAGGGAGGAAAAAUCUUAGUUGUGAGUAUAUAUGGAGAUCAUUUGUUAUAUACUGGUGAUGAUGAUAAAUUGCUUGCAGAUUUUAAACAUUCCAUGGAAAAUGAAUUUGAGAUGACAGACUUGGGGCCAAUGAAGUUCUUUCUUGGCAUUGAGAUAGUCCAAAAGGAUGUUGGUAUUUUUAUUUGUCAAAAGAAAUAUGCCAGCGAAGUCCUACAACGUUUUGGUAUGGAGAAUCAUAAUCCAGUAUGUAAUCCGAUUGUUCCUGGCCAAAAGAUUAGAAGAGAUGUGGGAGGCGAGGUAGUUGAUGCAACUCAGUUUAAACAAAUGGUGGGAAGUCUAAUGCAUCUCAUAGCUACGUGACCUGACCUCAUGUUUGUUGUGAGCUUCAUUAGUCGUUUCAUGGCUAGUCCUACAAAGAUCCACUUUGCUGCAAUCAAAAGGGUGCUAAGGUAUUUAAAGGGGACUGUUAAUUAUGGUAUUUUUUACAGAAGAGGUGGAGAAAGCAGGCUGGUCGGAUUUACAGACAGUGACUAUGCUGGUGACAUGGAUGAUAGCAAAAGCACUUCCAGUUAUGCGUUUCUGCUAAGUGGAGGAGCUGUGGCAUGGUCUUCUCGUAAGCAACCCAUUGUUACCUUGUCAACCACAGAAGCUGAGUUUAUAGCUGCAGCUGCCUGUGCUUGUCAAGCCAUUUGGAUGAGAAGAAUACUGAAAGAAAUUGGCCAUUCACAGGAAGCAGAGACUGUUUUGAUGUGUGAUAAUGCUUCAACAAUCAAGUUGUCUAGAAAUCCUAUUUUACAUGGGCGUUCCAAACACAUAAGAGUAAGGUUCCACUUUCUCAGAGAUUUAGUUAAAGAAGGUGUUGGUGAGUUACAGUUUUGUGGCACCAAAGACCAACUUAUAGAUUUGAUGACCAAACCACUCAAGUUAGAAGCAUUAUAGAAGCUACGUCAAGAACUUGGUGUUUGCACAGACUCAGAUUUGAACUAAUUCUUUUACAAGAGGAAUAAGUUCAAAGGAGGGUUUGUUGGUAGUUUAAAUUAGUCUGGUAGUUUUGAAUUAGUCAAUAAGUGUCCAAUUCUACUGGAGUUAUUUUCUACUAUUUAGAAUAUUUUCGCUACUGCUAUAUUUAGAUUAUUUUGCAAAUCUUUACUUGUUUUCUGUUUUGAAGUAAUGGCUAUUUAAAGCCCAGCAGUUGCUCAAAUAAAAUAUCACUUUUAAAUCCAAUUGUUCUGGUUGUCGACUUGUUUCUUGAUCUAACAA